AUGAGGGCUGCUAGACACGAGCAAAUAAUGUAGGCUAUUGGUCGCUUCUCUGAAUUGGACAGAGAUGGAGUCAUAUACUAACUCCAAAUGCGCUCUCGAGUGUACAUGUGACAAACAAAGAAGAAAUAGAAUUAGCGACUGAAUUUUUGGUUCAUCAAAGAGAUGUAAAAUAAGAAUCAUGUAGUCGUAGGCAUACUGUAAAUAUACUCAAAAACAACAACUACAACAACAUAAUACUAUUCUUGCAAUUCCUUGACGAUAUUUAAGUAAUUAGUAUACCAAAAACUUUAAUCAAUCUAGAGAGAAACAUCACAAGAAGAGUCGGGGCAGGAGGUGAACACUCAUAUUAUUUUAUGAUCUUGGUAUACAAUUAAAGGAAGAGCCACUGGAAAGCUAAUCAAUUAAAUUAUUUUGGAUUGUAAAGUACUACCUUAACUAUAAAGUCAUAAAAUAAGGACUGAAGCGAGAUCACCUUUAACUGAUCACUAAACAAAAAAUCAAUCCGCAACACUACUAGAUUAAAACUAGUCACUUGAGAACUCUUUGGAUUAGUUCUUGUCGAAUCAUAAAAUCAGCCCCCCAAAUGGAGGAUAUGUAUAAACCAGAAUUUUCACAUAUCUUAGAUGAAGGAUUACGUUUUAGUUAACUAUGUGAUGACCAAACAUUUAUCCAUACUCUUAUAUUUUCCAGAUCUUCAAACAGGGAGGGGGGUGGAACGAAGGGGUACCAGUUUUGAAUCCAAACAUAUUCAUGUCAAGUUGUUCUAGAUUGAAUCAUGUAGCAUUACUCUUUAAUUACCAACCAGAAAGAAGUAUUCAAACUAGGCAUCAAUAGAGACGAGAUUGAACAAAAAAAAAGAGUAAAUAUAGAAGCUAAAACUUGACAGAUACAAAAAAGGAGUUUCAAAGGACCACGAACAUAAAGAAACAACCAUUUAAGGAGCCAGCCAUAUUAACUUAAAGCAAUAUUAGAUUCACUAACCAAAUCGAUAUUGAAUUUAGGUUAAAUAAAGAAGCAAUAUGAGACCAGGCUACUGUUGUAGCUAUAUAGGAAUUUCACUCCGUAUAACAUUAUUAUCAUUUAAGAAUCAUUCCAAGGGAGGAAAACACCGACAUCUAUUCAAACCGAGUUAUUCAUAUUUAGCUAAAUGUAAAAAAAAUAAACUUUCUAUGCCAAGCAGCAGAAACAACUUUGAAUUAAAUGUGUAUCUAGACAAGAGGCCUAAAGGCGGUUAACAGAACUAACUUUAAUCAAGAGACUUACAUAUUUUGGCAUAACAAAAUUUAACAUCUAAUAGAGGCAGUAUGUGAUCACAGUCCACACGUGAAUAUUUUUUAGGGGAAAUCAUGAUGACGAAGUAGAACCGACAAGACAACGAGAUAUGAUUAAUAUAGAAAAAUGAAGAUGAAGAUGAAUAUGCUUCAGGUUAUGCGAAACAGACUAUGCGAGAGAGUAUCCGAAUUUAAUAUCGGCUGUGAACAGUCUUGAGCCAGCAUUCCGUCCAUAUAAAGAAACCACAUAACUUAAAAGGAAGCAUCUGAAAUUUAACUGAUUGUUAACGGAAUAAAAGACAGGCCACUAGUCAUUUUUGAAUUCACAAUUCACAACUCUAACCAGAUACAAAUAUCACAACUUCGACAAAUUAUUUAAAGGUUGAUUUUAAUCAAAGCUAAAUGAGGUAAUUCUGGGAACCGUUUAGAAAUACAAGAUUGAAUAAAGUAAGGAUAUUCAAACAGCCACAAAGUUUCCGAAACUGAAAGUCAAAAUAUAGAAAAGAUAAUGAUGACUACUGAUGUAUGAAGCAACAAACAAGGGGUUCGACGUUAAGAGAUUUCAACUUCGAACUCGACGUCAACUCAAAUUCAAAACAGAGAACAGAAGGACAAGAAGUGAAAAGAAAUUUCGAACUCUAACAAAAACUUGAAGUGGCUGCGAUUUUUCUUAUUUUGAUCGAUUCUUCGAUUUUCUCACUCAUUUCUGGACCUUCCUGGAUUGAGAACCAAAGGUCUGUUUUUAUUGCCAAAUUCAAACUUCCACUUGGCUUCAAGAAUUCAAAUUUUAAAUUCUUGGGAAGCCAAGUAUGAGGAAGAAUAGAAAAAUUAUAAUGAAGAGGGAAGGAAAUCUUUCAAGAAUCGACCUUUUCAGGUCGAUUUGAGAGGAUGAGUGAUUGAGGGAGCGUUUUUCCGGUGGCCCAGAGUCAUUUCUCUGACAAAGGGGGAUGGGGGAUCACGUGUGGGAGGUGAUGGAGGCCAUGGGAGAGGAGCUUGGAGCGUCAUUCUUUGGGGAAGAGGAAGAGGCGUGAUGGGGAAGAAGAACGUGAUCUUUGGAAGAAAUACAGAGUAUAGG
rnacentral:lncRNA from 1 species